CUCUCUCUCUCUCUCUCUCUGUAUGGUUCACCCUUUCUCUUUCACUCUCACUUUGCUUUGUAUAUAACCAUGAAAUGAAUAUACAUGUAUUUAGUAAAACUAUUGGUUGUUGUUUAGAAUUAGAAUAUGAACUGUAUGUGAAGAUGAGAUUAUACAGUAAGAAGAAUUCGUAAUAUUGGUUGUAAGUUUGUUAGAGCUAUUAGUACAGACUGCAGACUAAGACUAUUUGCCAGUUCUGUGAAUAUUGUAAGGAGUUUAGGAUAUAAGUUGUUGAAGAUGUAUCUUUUCAAGUUCAGUAAUCUCGCUGAAAAAGAUAGUAUUAGAUCAAAGUGAUGCAGAUGACUAUUGGAAAAUACAUGAGCUAUAGUUAAGGAAGAGUUAUAAGUUUAUUCAGUAUUAAUGUGAAGUCCUGAGACAAGAAGUAACUUGUGAAUUUAGGGAUUAGUGAAGACUGAGAGUAGAAUUGCAUUCUAAGGGUCUAUGUGUACAGUGGAUCCUCAGUCUUGGAGCGUAAAGAGUAGAAAGCUUAUUAGGCAGUAUUAUAGGGAUGAUUAUGCCAACAUUCUUGUAUUAGGUCUAUAUAUGUGAUUUCUUGAAAGAGACGCUAAGUGAAGAGUUAUAUGAUUAGAAGCUAAAGUAGAUUGACUGAUACCGCAAUGUUAUAGACAUUUGAUAAGGGUUAAGUUAUUUAUUAGUAGCCAAGUUAUGAUUAUGAGAUCGAUGAAGAGUUGCACUUUUACAUAAAGCAUGGAAGUAAGGAUAGUUUCGUUUAGAGAUAGUAAAGUAAUGAAACUAACCAGAUGAUGUUCCUAGUGAUAUAGUAAGAGAACACUGAGAGCUAAUGAAUUCAAUGUAUGCGAAGUUUGCGAACAGGUAGAUUUAUUUGUGUUUAAUACUUGAAGAGUAUUGUUAAUGUUAUGCCAUUUGAUCGUAUAUAUGUUAUUGUAAGAAAAGACUGUUAUUGUAGAAGAUUAAGUAAUAAAGACUUUGUUUUGCCAUUCAUCCUAGUCAACAUCUAUUCUAUUUUGUCUUCCUUUCAAAGGUAAGAAAGAAUCUUAUAUUAUUCAAUUGUGUUAUAUUCUUGUUGUUCAUAAUAUGUGCAUUUCUAAACUAUUAGCUUCACUAUUCACAUAUCUUGUAUUACUGUGUAAAAAGAGAUAUUAAUGAUCUUUGCCAAUGACUUGUUGGAUUAUAUGACAUGUGGACUAUGAGAGGAAAUAUAAGAAAUGCCAUGUGGGAAGAGAUGCCAUGUGGGGAGAGAUAAUGUCAUUGAUGAACAUAGUAAUCACUUGUAGAGAUGAUAGGAAAGUAUUAUCGUGUGUGUGAGAUUGAUGAUUAUGUUGUUUGAUUUAGACAACAUUUUAAGUAAGUUUUGAGAAGAGAAUAUACUUUAUUACUGUCAGACAGUCAGUAUAUUUGUCUUUUGCUCGAUAUUCAUGUGUAUAUAUAUAUUCUUAGCCAAGGACAUGUGCCAUUUACUAUGCAUUAUGCCAAAGCACAUUGUUAUAUAUUCUAGUUCGAGUUAGAUACAGUUUUAGUAGCGAAAUGAGUGGUUCAAGUCCAGAUUAUCUUUAAUUUUCAGUAUUAUGGUAUGAGUGAGUGUGGACGCACCAUGUGUAUAAUAUUAGUGUGUUAUUAGGUUAUGGCAGUGCGUGCAAUGUGAACACAACUUCUUAUCAGAGUUCUUAAUCCCCUCUCCCCCCAAGCUUGACCAUCCACUGCAAUGCAUUACACGCACACAGUGUAGAUAGAGUAUAUGCUAUACCCAAAUGCUAUGUUGAGAAGUGUUAGAGAUAGAAUGUGUUUGUUUUUGACCCAUGCUGGAAAUGGUAUCUUAGGCGGGAAUGAAAGUUUGGUAGAGUCAGCAAAAUGAGAAGACAAAGGAUUUGAGUUGGGGAAUACACUUGUUGAGAAACACAUGGUCAAA